rnacentral:rRNA from 1 species
ACUCGAGUGGCGAACGGGUGAGUAACACGUGGGUGAUCUGCCCUGCACUUCGGGAUAAGCUUGGGAAACUGGGUCUAAUACCGGAUAGGAGCCAUCUUUAGUGUGGUGGUUGGAAAGUUUUUCGGUGUGGGAUGAGCUCGCGGCCUAUCAGCUUGUUGGUGGGGUAAUGGCCUACCAAGGCGUCGACGGGUAGCCGGCCUGAGAGGGUGUACGGCCACAUUGGGACUGAGAUACGGCCCAG